GACGAACGCUGGCGGCGUGCCUAAUACAUGCAAGUCGAACGCUGAAGGAGGAGCUUGCUUCUCUGGAUGAGUUGCGAACGGGUGAGUAACGCGUAGGUAACCUGCCUGGUAGCGGGGGAUAACUAUUGGAAACGAUAGCUAAUACCGCAUAAUAGUAGAUGUCGCAUGACAUUUGCUUAAAAGGUGCAAUUGCAUCACUACCAGAUGGACCUGCGUUGUAUUAGCUAGUUGGUGAGGUAACGGCUCACCAAGGCAACGAUACAUAGCCGACCUGAGGGGGUGAUCGGCCACACUGGGACUGAGACACGGCCCAGACUCCUACGGGAGGCAGCAGUAGGGAAUCUUCGGCAAUGGACGGAAGUCUGACCGAGCAACGCCGCGUGAGUGAAGAAGGGUUUCGGAUCGUAAAGCUCUGUUGUAAGAGAAGAACGAGUGUGAGAGUGGAAAGUUCACACUGUGACGGUAGCUUACCAGAAAGGGACGGCUAACUACGUG
rnacentral:rRNA from 1 species